GAAAGAAACAGACAAAAAAGACAUAAGCCCAAUUUUUUCUCCUGUUGCAGGUUCCGGUUAACAUCUACAAGGCAUGUCUUGUGAUUAGUGACUCAGCCUGGGAGUUGUAUUACUGAGCUGUCCAAAUCAUUUAACAUUUUAAGAGGACCAAAUGAAGCCAUCUUUAGAAAAGGAGGCAUCUGGUGCUGGUGAAAACACAUCUGAACACUUCCCUUUGGUCUGCCAUUAAAUAUCCUAGUACAACUGUUCUGAACAUCCCAUCCCACGCUGGAAUAGGAAGAGAAGUCCAGCCAGCCAUUUCCCCCGUGGCCAGCCGUAAGGAUCUUCCAGAAGGUAUGUGCUUUGGAUCUCAUCCCCCAGACUAGAGAGAGGAUGUAAAGCCUUUCCUUCUGGGUGGAUCAGAGGAUUGGGACCUGGUGCCCAAAGGCCUUUCUACAUGAAGUCAGUAGGUGAGAGAGCAAAUAAGACAAAGUUGUGGGACAGAGAACACAGAGAGG
rnacentral:lncRNA from 1 species